rnacentral:rRNA from 1 species
UUGGGCGAGAGUAGUACUAGGAUGGGUGACCUCCUGGGAAGUCCUCGUGUUGCACCCC